rnacentral:rRNA from 1 species
CCUACGGGAGGCAGCAGUGGGGAAUAUUGGGCAAUGGGCGCAAGCCUGACCCAGCAACGCCGCGUGAAGGAAGAAGGCUUUCGGGUUGUAAACUUCUUUUGACAGGGAAGAGUAGAAGACGGUACCUGUCGAAUAAGCCACGGCUAACUACGUGCCAGCAGCCGCGGUAAUACGUAGGUGGCAAGCGUUGUCCGGAUUUACUGGGUGUAAAGGGCGUGUAGCCGGGUUGACAAGUCAGAUGUGAAAUCCUGCGGCUUAACCGCAGAACUGCAUUUGAAACUGUUGAUCUUGAGUACUGGAGAGGCAGACGGAAUUCCUAGUGUAGCGGUGAAAUGCGUAGAUAUUAGGAGGAACACCAGUGGCGAAGGCGACUUUCUGGACUGUACCUGACGCUGAGGCGCGAAAGCGUGGGUAGCGAACGGGAUUAGAUACCCCUAGUAGUC